GACGAACGCUGGCGGCGUGCCUAACACAUGCAAGUGGAGCGACGAACCGGGCUUCGGCCCGGGGCCAAGCCGCGAACGGAUGAGUAACACGUGGGUAACCUGCCCUGAUGAUUGGGACAACCCGAGGAAACUCGGGCUAAUACCGAAUGUGCCCUCCGACCAUAAGGUCUGCGGGGAAAGGAAGCUUCGGCCUCCGCAUCGGGAUGGGCCCGCGGCGCAUUAGCUUGUUGGUGAGGUAACGGCUCACCAAGGCGACGAUGCGUAGCUGGUCUGAGAGGACGAUCAGCCACACUGGGACUGAGACACGGCCCAGACUCCUACGGGAGGCAGCAGUGGGGAAUCUUGCGCAAUGCGCGAAAGCGUGACGCAGCAACGCCGCGUGGGGAAGACGGCCU
rnacentral:rRNA from 1 species